GUAGGUGGCAAGCGUUGUCCGGAAUUAUUGGGCGUAAAGCGCGCGCAGGCGGUUCUUUAAGUCUGAUGUGAAAGCCCACGGGCUCAACCGUGGAGGGUCAUUGGAAACUGGGGAACUUGAGUACAGAAGAGGAAAGCGGAAUUCCACGUGUAGCGGUGAAAUGCGUAGAGAUGUGGAGGAACACCAGUGGCGAAGGCGGCUUUCUGGUCUGUAACUGACGCUGAGGCGCGAAAGCGUGGGGAGCAAACAGGAUUAGAUACCCUGGUAGUCCACGCCGUAAACGAUGAGUGCUAAGUGUUGGGGGGUUUCCGCCCCUUAGUGCUGCAGCUAACGCAUUAAGCACUCCGCCUGGGGAGUACGGCCGCAAAGGCUG
rnacentral:rRNA from 1 species